CAUGUGAAAUCUGUAUAUUCGACUGAAAUGUUAUAUAGCAAAGAAUUUUUUCACUUCUCUCGAUUCGUUCGACAUUUAAAUUAUAUUGGGGAUUUUAAAUACCCAAUAAACAGCAAAGGCUUUACGUAAGCAUAGAAAAGAUUUAGAGGGUAGUCUGAAAGUUUUGACAACUUUGGAAAUAUAAUAUUAUUCUGUUGCAUCUAUCGACUAUAUUUUUUGCAAGAAAAUUAAAAGCUUUGAUGAGUACUUACUUUUUUUGUUUUCAACAUUUCAGAUGAGAAUAUAAAUAUAUUAUUUUUCAGAUGUCUCAGUCCAAGGUCAGCGUAUUUUUACGAGUUCCCUCCAAAUGAUCAAAACUACACGAACACCGGCAAAAAACGGACGACGUUCUCGAGAUUUCUUCGCGGCCUCAAAACGUCCCACCGAAAAGAAAAACACGGAGCCAGCUCUCCGAGGCACGGCAGGGCGGCCGCCAGGGGAGUCCCGCAGAGGGUCGACACCCCAGAUAGUGUCCUCCAAAGCGGUCUGGGUCUAACGGAUCUGGGUCAACAUGCUGUCCUCCGCUCGAUGGUGGAUCCGAGAGACUACGACAGACUGAGGCAUCUUCAGAUGAACGGGGGAACGCCGAAUACCUUCGAGGAGACCAUA